rnacentral:tRNA from 1 species
GCGGGCAUGGUGUAGCGGUAACAUCUGAGCCUUCCAAGCUCCAGUCACGGGUUCGAUCCCCGUUGCCCGCU